GUUUUCUAUUUUCAUAGAGAUAUAAGUCAAAUUAUAAAGGUUUGUUAAAAAUGCUGGGCCCCUCAUACCGUAAGGUAUGGAAAAGACCCAAAGAUACAGUAUAGUGCACAAAGUGUUAAUCUUCGAUAGGACUCCUUUCGGAAUCAACUAAAGAAAAAAUCAGUAAUGAUCCAACCGCAGGUUCACCUACGGUUA
rnacentral:misc_RNA from 1 species